CGUGGUGUUAAUGACUUAAAGAACAAACAUUUUUAAUAAUUUAAAUAUUAUAAUAUUAAUAUCAAUUUUAUUUUAUACAACACCACACGUUCUUUAUUUCUGUUAAAAAAAAAAUGUUAUAUAUAUACGUCUGUUCUAUUCACGAGUAAAUGAAUUCGUGGUAUAACCCAGGGCAUAUACCUAGACAUUCUUAACAUUUGUUUUUUUUAUAUAUAUAUACAUAUAAAAUUGUGGAUGUAAGCAUUAUAACCAGUGUCGUGAUAUAAGUGUAAAAAAAAUAGUAAAUAUACAUGUAUGUUCAUACGUGGAAGCGUGUGAAUUUAGACGUAUACAUUAUAAAAUAUAUAUGCACGCCGUGUAGAGAAUAGUGGGCUGAUCGUUCUUACGGCAAUAAUACCUAACGGCUUAAAUAAUAAGGAGGGGUGAAUGUCGACGGAGGACUCCAACGACGAAUACCUCCCGGGCGCUGCUUAUGAUAGUGACGACAGUAGAGUAGGGGCAGAUUCUAGACCGAGGCCUUUCGUUACGAACCGUCCUCGCACUAGAGCAUUCGUCAGCAAUAAUCCCGAAAUACCAUCAGCGGUGCAAAGCGUAGGAACCAACACCACGCGCCCCCCAGCAGCUGCCACUAAACUUUUUUACUCAACAGAUAAAAUUGUAUUGAUAUUUAUAGAAAAAAAAACUAAAAAAUUGAAAACUGACAAUGUCCGUAAGCAGCUCAAAAACAGUCAAAAUAUUUUCAAAAUGUUAUGGUGUAUAGAAAAUGCUAAUAUAAACAUUCAGUCAAAAUUUCAUGUCUCUACCGUCAUUUGUUUUAGAGUUACACCAAAAAGAUUUUGCGUAAAAAUUCCCGUUUUCCCUUAAUUUUUCUUUUAUUUUUCACGUCGCUUCUGAAAACUACUGGGAAAUUUUUACUUUCGACCCCCCAAAGUACGAACUAGAUUCACUUUCCUCUCAGAAAAGUUACUGUUGAAGAAAAUCCAAGCAUUUUUACUGUCCUAAAAGGUGAUGACAGACACAAAAAUAAAAAAUAAAAUAAAUAAAAACAACACACAUCAUUGUAAAAUCAAUACAUUCAUCGCUUCGCUCAGAAUCUAAAAUGAAACGAUACAUUUGUUUAUUUAUUUAUUUUGCAAGUCAUGCACAGCGGCGGCGGCGUGCAUGUUUAUUAUUAUUGUAUUGAUUUUUCCCUUCUCUCCCUAAUUCACUUAUAAUUUCACGAACUCCAAUACUUAUGAAAGAAGUUUUACUUCCCCAGAGUGUAAUGGUGAACUCACACGCUCUCGUUUUUUUUCUCGUUACGAAAUAUAUUUUUAGUUUUAUUCAUUUUAACAGAAUCAUGUUCCUCACUGAACAUGCUCGUGUGACUUAAGUGUUAACCAACAGUGUUUUUGGUCAAUUACAAAUCUCAAUAAAAUAUAUAGAGGUUUUGGUCAUGUGAUCGUGUAGUAAUUUACCAGUGUAUGAUGUGACUCUUAUAAAAAUUAACUGAGUUUUGAACUGGAGCGUCAAGAUGUGCUGCCGGCUUCCCAAAGAAGAUGUCUAAGGUUUUAGCUGGACAUUUUUUUGGGAUUCACGCCUUUUUUGAACUUAUAGGAACGCUAUCAUCUGUGAGUCAAAAUAUACAAACGAAAAGCCCGACUUAAAACUGUAACAUGUGCAUCAGCAUGGGUAUGUCCGUCACGUUGAUACAACUAAUAAUAUUGAAGUCACCGCCAAAUAAUAUCUGAUAGAACGUCAUCACUUCUCUUACUACGGAAUGGUUAGUCACUUGUUGUCUGAAGUCC